rnacentral:rRNA from 1 species
UACGUAGGGGGCGAGCGUUGUCCGGAUUUAUUGGGCGUAAAGAGCUCGUAGGCGGUUUGGCAAGUCGGGUGUGAAAACUCCGGGCUCAACUCGGAGACGCCACUCGAUACUGCCAUGACUCGAGUCCGGUAGGGGAGUGCGGAAUUCCUGGUGUAGCGGUGAAAUGCGCAGAUAUCAGGAAGAACAUCGGUGGCGAAGGCGCUCUGCUGGACCAUAACUGACACUCAGGGACGAAAGCUAGGGGAGCGAAUGGG